rnacentral:misc_RNA from 1 species
GAUGAAGAACGCAGCGAAAUGCGAUAAGUAGUGUGAAUUGCAGAAUUCAGUGAAUCAUCGAAUCUUUGAACGCACAUUGCGCCUCCUGGCAUUCCGGGAGGCAUGCCUGUUCGAGCGUCAUCAAACCCCAUCGUGCAAAUGAAUUAUUUUUUUUGCGCGGAAGUGACGAUUGAGCGAGAAUAACAAAUCCUCUCGCACCUCGUCGAAAUGAUUGCGGGCGGAAUUUGGGAUCGGGUUCCUCGGCGUAGUGUAUCAAUGCAUAUUUAUGCAACUUGCCGCGGAGUUGAGCCUGACCCACGCGUUCUCGCCGUACAAACACCUCAUUACUUUACAAGUUUUUGACCUCGGAUCAGGUAGGGAUACCCGCUGAACUUAAGCAUAUCAAUAGCGGAGGA